GACGAACGCUGGCGGCGUGCUUAACACAUGCAAGUCGAACGGAAAGGCCCUGCUUUUGUGGGGUGCUCGAGUGGCAAACGGGUGAGUAACACGUGAGUAACCUGCCCUUGACUUUGGGAUAACUUCAGAAAACUGGGGCUAAUACCGGAUAGGAGCCCCUGCUGCAUGGGGGGGGUUGGAAAGUUUCGGCGGUUGGGGAUGGACUCGCGGCUUAUCAGCUUGUUGGUGGGGUAGUGGCUUACCAAGGCUUUGACGGGUAGCCGGCCUGAGAGGGUGACCGGCCACAUUGGGACUGAGAUACGGCCCAGACUCCUACGGGAGGCAGCAGUGGGGAAUAUUGCACAAUGGGCGGAAGCCUGAUGCAGCAACGCCGCGUGCGGGAUGACGGCCUUCGGGUUGUAAACCGCUUUCGCCUGGGACGAAGCGUGAGUGACGGUAAUGGGUAAAGAAGCACCGGCUAACUACGUG
rnacentral:rRNA from 1 species